rnacentral:rRNA from 1 species
AUUGAACGCUGGCGGCAUGCUUUACACAUGCAAGUCGAACGGUAACAGGCCGCAAGGUGCUGACGAGUGGCGAACGGGGGAGUAAUGCAUCGGAACGUGCCCAGGCGUGGGGGAUAACUACUCGAAAGAGUAGCUAAUACCCCAUACGAGCUCUGGAUGAAAACGGGGGACCGUAAGGCAUCGCGCGCUUGCAGCGGCCGAUGUCUGAUUAGGUAGUUGUUGGGGUAAAGGCUAACCAAGCCAACGAUCUGCAGCUGGUCUGAGAGGACGAACAGCCACACUGGGACUGAGACACGGCCCAGACUCCUACGGGAGGCAGCAGUGGGGAAUAUUGGACAAUGGGCGCAAGCCUGAUCCAGCAAUGCCGCGUGUAGGAAGAAGGCCUUCGGGUUGUAAACUGCUUUUGUACGGAACGAAGCGGCUCUGGUUAAUACCCGGGGGUAAUGACGGUACCGUAAGAAUAAGCACCGGCUAACUACGUG